rnacentral:rRNA from 1 species
CUACCAUGCAAGUCGAGCGAGGGGAGUUCUUCGGAACGAACCUAGCAGCGGACGGGUGAGAAACACGUGGGUAACCUGCCUCAAAGAGGGGGAUAGCCUCCCGAAAGGGAGAUUAAUACCGCAUAAUCCAUAAAGCCCGCAUGGGCAUUAUGGUAAAGAUUUAUCGCUUUGAGAUGGACCCGCGGCGCAUUAGCUAGUUGGUGAGGUAACGGCUCACCAAGGCCACGAUGCGUAGCCGACCUGAGAGGGUGAUCGGCCACAUUGGAACUGAGACACGGUCCAGACUCCUACGGGAGGCAGCAGUGGGGAAUAUUGCACAAUGGGCGGAAGCCUGAUGCAGCAACGCCGCGUGAGUGAUGAAGGCCUUCGGGUUGUAAAGCUCUGUCUUUGGGGACGAUAAUGACGGUACCCAAGGAGGAAGCCACGGCUAACUACGUGCCAGCAGCCGCGGUAAUACGUAGGUGGCAAGCGUUGUCCGGAUUUACUGGGCGUAAAGGGUGCGUAGGUGGAUAUUUAAGUCAGAUGUGAAACCCCCAGGCUCAACCUGGGAACUGCAUUUGAAACUGGAUAUCUGGAGUGCAGGAGAGGUAAGUGGAAUUCCUAGUGUAGCGGUGAAAUGCGUAGAGAUUAGGAAGAACACCAGUGGCGAAGGCGACUUACUGGACUGUAACUGACACUGAGGCACGAAAGCGUGGGUAGCAAACAGGAUUAGAUACCCUGGUAGUCCACGCCGUAAACGAUGAGUACUAGGUGUAGGAGGUAUCGACUCCUUCUGUGCCGCAGUUAACACAAUAAGUACUCCGCCUGGGAAGUACGAUCGCAAGAUUAAAACUCAAAGGAAUUGACGGGGGCCCGCACAAGCAGCGGAGCAUGUGGUUUAAUUCGAAGCAACGCGAAGAACCUUACCUGGACUUGACAUCUCCUGAAUUACUCUUAACAGAGGAAGCCCUUCGGGGCAGGAAGACAGGUGGUGCAUGGUUGUCGUCAGCUCGUGUCGUGAGAUGUUAAGGUUAAGUCCUGCAACGAGCGC